rnacentral:rRNA from 1 species
GACGAACGCUGGCGGCGUGCCUAAUACAUGCAAGUUGAGCGCUGAAGGUUGGUACUUGUACCAACUGGAUGAGCAGCGAACGGGUGAGUAACGCGUGGGGAAUCUGCCUUUGAGCGGGGGACAACAUUUGGAAACGAAUGCUAAUACCGCAUAAAAACUUUAAACACAAGUUUUAAGUUUGAAAGAUGCAAUUGCAUCACUCAAAGAUGAUCCCGCGUUGUAUUAGCUAGUUGGUGAGGUAAAGGCUCACCAAGGCGAUGAUACAUAGCCGACCUGAGAGGGUGAUCGGCCACAUUGGGACUGAGACACGGCCCAAACUCCUACGGGAGGCAGCAGUAGGGAAUCUUCGGCAAUGGACGAAAGUCUGACCGAGCAACGCCGCGUGAGUGAAGAAGGUUUUCGGAUCGUAAAACUCUGUUGGUAGAGAAGAACGUUGGUGAGAGUGGAAAGCUCAUAAAGUGACGGUAACUACCCAGAAAGGGUCGGCUAACUACGUG